CGUGGUGGCAGUAGGCGUCCGCCGCCAGUAAUAUAACACAAAAAAAUCCAGCCUCCAUCAGACCCCCGAGAGUCACAACUGUUGCUCAAUCAGCGCACCAGGCUCUGUGGAUCUGUUCUUCCUGAAUCCGUGUUUAUCAUCAUCUAAGAAAGCGUCUGUUCACAGAACAGUUCCCGUUGUCUUCUGGAUGUGUGUGGUGUGGUGUGGAUGGAGCAGCGGGGCGGAGACCGACAGGAUGAUGUGAGACCAACCGAGGCGAGGAAGUGCGUCUGGCGGCGGCGAGAGGCGGUGUUUUUUUGUUUUUUGUUUUUUACCCUCCCCUCCUCUCUUUAGGUUUGGGUGCUGCUGGGAUGGUGGGGCCACUUCACAGAGCUGGGUGACGCGCACAAAAGGUGAGGCGAGGCCUUCCGCCGUUAACCCAUUACACACCCGCAACUUCCUCCUCAAUCCGCACUAAUUGACCUUUUCUCUUUUCUUUAAAAAACACGAGACUGCUUUUUCCAAGUUUCUUUUUGUUCCGUGAACGUGAGUCUGACAGACCAGAGGUUAAAUUAACAGAGAAAUGACCACCUCGGAGAGGUUGGCUGAGUGGUGAAAACUGUGGUGGAUUUGGUUAUUGAUUGAGCAGGUUCACAGAUAACGCCCAGGUGGUUUGUGUUGAGUCAAAGCGCACAGCGACCUCUGUCGGAAACAAGAGAAGUAGGCUGGUAUGGAAGAAGCAGAAGACCCAAAUUACCCAGAAUUUGGGGGGGGGGGUUACCCUUUAAAUUACAGAUACACUCAUUAUAUAGUUACUCUGAACAAUUAGAAUGACCAUAUUGUUAACCUACAUGUCUUUCACAUUAUAUUUAAGGUGGUAAUGUGCUGUUCUACUCAUCAAUGGUCAACACAAACCAUCAAAGUUGCAAGUUAUAUAAUUAGUUCCACAGUGGUAUAGAUAGUUGCAGCAGUUCUACAUACAGUCUCUCCCCUUUUUAUAAUCUUCAUUAACUUUCAGUUUGUUUGACAUUUUUACAUAUACACAGAAGCUGUUCAGUUUCUUCUAUAAUCUGAAUAGAAAAAAAUGCAAAAAAUACAGUAAAAUUCUAUUUUUUGGUUUAGUUUUAAUUGAGAUUGAAAUAUUGCAGAUAAAACAAAAAGCUGAUCAGAAAUGGAGGAUGACAUUUCAUAAUUUAUAAAAACAGUUUUAACUCUAUGAUGGUGUUGAUGUUGGUAGCAUGUGUCUGUUCAUGUAGUAUUUUCCGGCCGACAUGAACAUGAAGAGCGCAGUCUAGCCACCAUAUGAGAGAAACAAUUUGCCAAUCACUCGACCAAAUAUAAAAAAAGAACGACAGUAAUGGCAUUUCACUCCCUCUCAUCCAUUUGAACUAAAGAAUUGAGAAAUUAACUGAGCCCAAAUGCUGCAGGUGGCUGCUGUGCGCAGGGCGGCACAGAAGAGACA